UGAAAAAUUUGAAAAAUACUUUCAACAUUAAUGAAAUUGAUACUUGGAAAUAACACAGUUUUAUUAUUCAUAGACAAUUUUGUACAAAAAUUAAAGUAAUAAAUAAGGGACAUUUUAAUUAAGUAUUAUUAGAUAUCAUAAUGUUAAGAAUAAAAUUAACAUCAAGCGAUUUGUUUCAUACAAUAAUUUUUUUUUUAAACUUUAUUAAAUAAUAAUAUAUUUUGAAUGUGUAGCGGGUGCCAAACAUGACAUUUUGGACAUUGAUGAAUUUUUUCUUUCUAAUAUUCGUCAAUAUUUUUGUUUCAUUGUUUUCUAUGGAAAAAGCGCUUUCAGAACGGAGCUGUUUUAUACAUGAAAAAGCGCUAGUUUCUGCAUUUAACACAAAGCGAAGGAAAAAUAAUCUUAAAGAAGUUCAGUGGGCUCCAUAUCUUUCCAUAAUUGCGGAAAGGUAUGCCGAAACAAUAUUUAAACAAAAUACGCCACGUGAAUCAUUGCUUGACGCGGGCAUGGAUAAAUUAGUUCAAAUUAAUUCGGGCUACUUUCUCUCAGAGGUAAGAAAUUUAAAAGAAUGUUAUAAAACUAUUUUUUUUUGGUUAUUUAGGAAGCACUCGUAGAUUCCUGGUUAAAUGGUUUAAAAGCUCAAGACAAUGAUACUUCAUACAUGGCAGCAAGCCUUCACUAUAUUUUAUCCGCUGAUACUAAUUUCGUGGGAUGUUCAAGAUUAUGUAAUCAUAUUCAAGAAAUAUGGGUUUGCUUUUUUGAUAAGAAUAUAAAUCCUUUUUUCGGGCGUAGAUCAAGAAGUAAAAAACCUAUUUUACGUUCAGUCUUUUAAAUCAUUGCAAAAAAGCGGAAGGUGACGUGGGAGAGUAAGCUUGGUUCACGUUGGAUACAAGGGGAGAAGAAGGAGAAUACAUCGGAGAAGAUGGAGAAUAGGAUGGUGAUUGAUGAAAUUGUAUUGUAUCAUAACGUGGUGAUA